rnacentral:tRNA from 1 species
GGAAGGGUACUCGAAGAGGCCGAACGAGGAUCGGGGCAACCCGAUCAGGGCUCACACCCUGCGCAGGUUCGAAUCCUGCCCCUUCCG